rnacentral:tRNA from 1 species
CAGCUGUGGCCUACUGGUUAGCGCUUCGGACUUGUAACCGGAGGGUUGCCGGUUCGAACAUGGCAUGGCUGA